rnacentral:rRNA from 1 species
CUGCGGGUGCUACCAUGCAAGUCGAACGCGAAAGCGGCUUCGGCCGCGAGUAGAGUGGCAAACGGGUGAGUAACACGUGGGUGACCUGCCUUCGAGUGGGGGAUAACGUCUCGAAAGGGACGCUAAUACCGCAUAACAUCCUGCCUUUGAACAGGCGGAGAUCAAAGCCGGGGACCGCAAGGCCCGGCGCUUGGAGAGGGGCCCGCGCCGGAUUAGCUAGUUGGUGAGGUAACGGCCCACCAAGGCGACGAUCCGUAGCCGGCCUGAGAGGGCGGACGGCCACACUGGGACUGAGACACGGCCCAGACUCCUACGGGAGGCAGCAGUGGGGAAUUGUUCGCAAUGGGCGCAAGCCUGACGACGCAACGCCGCGUGGAGGACGAAGAUCUUCGGAUCGUAAACUCCUGUCGAGCGGGACGAAUGGCCCGGGACCUAAUACGUUCUGGGAGUGACGGUACCGCUAAAGGAAGCCCCGGCUAACUCCGUGCCAGCAGCCGCGGUAAUACGGGGGGGGCCAGCGUUGUUCGGAAUUACUGGGCGUAAAGGGCGCGUAGGCGGCCUUCUAAGUCGGACGUGAAAUCCCUCGGCUCAACCGGGGAACUGCGUCCGAUACUGGAGGGCUUGGAUCCGAGAGAGGGAUGCGGAAUUCCAGGUGUAGCGGUGAAAUGCGUAGAUAUCUGGAGGAACACCGGUGGCGAAGGCGGCAUCCUGGACCGGCAUCGACGCUGAGGCGCGAAAGCCAGGGGAGCAAACGGGAUUAGAUACCCCGGUAGUC